GUGAAUCAUCAAAUUUUUGAACGCAAAUUGCACUCUCUUCGGAUAGGAUGCCUGUUUGAGGGUCAGCCUAAAAAAAAAUCGACAUAGUCGCUUUGUCGUGGUGACAUUCGUCGGAAAUUGGGUUAGCUUAAACCUUUGGGUUUUAAGCGGCUUAAAAUUUUCUUUACGAUUCCAGCAACGUUUCUAUGAUUUGCUUCUUACACGUUUAAGGUAAUCGAUCUUUUUUAGACGUGGCCAUUGUGUCUGAGGGCGGGCAU
rnacentral:misc_RNA from 1 species